AGCUCCAAUAGCGUAUAUUAAAGUUGUUGCGGUUAAAAAGCUCGUAGUUGGAUUUCUGCCGAGGACGACCGGUCCGCCCUGUGGGUGAGUAUCUGGCUCGGCCUGGGCAUCUUAUUGGAGAACGUAGCUACACUUGAUUGUGUGGUGCGGUAUCCAUUACUUCGAGGAAAUUAGAAUGUUUCAAGCAGGCACACGCCUUGAAUACAUUAGCAUGUAAUGAUAAGAUGGCACCUCGGUUCUAUCUUGUUGGUUUCUAGAGCUGACGUAAUGAUUAAUACGGAUAGUUGGGGGCAUUCGUAUUUAACUGUCAGAGGUGAAAUUCCCGGAUUUGUUAAAGACGGAUUACUGCGAAAGCAUUUGCCAAGGAUGUUUUCA
rnacentral:rRNA from 1 species